CAAAUUCUCCCAAGAAUGCCAAAAAAUCUUUUCUCUAGGGCCUUAAUUUUCCCAAGAAUCCCCAAAAUAUUUCUUUUUCAAUCUUAAUUCUCCCAAGAAUCCCAAAAAAUCUUUUCUUUAGGGUCUUAAUUUUCCCAAGAAUCCCCAAAAUUUUGUCCUUUACGAUCUCAAUUUUCCCAAGAAUCCCCAAUAAUCUCUCCGCCAUCACUACCAAAUAAUUUUCCCAUUUCUCAUUAUCUUUCUAAUUCCUCUUUCUUCAAUCUUUGUUAUUAUAUAAAUACUAGCUAUAUUCUGGUAAAAGAAUGAAUAUAUUCCUCAAAAAAUCAUGGAUAGUGAUGUUUGUGCAAGGUUUGAGAAGAAAAAAGAUAAAAAAAAUUCUGGAAAUAAGCACUGCAGAGAUGACCAAAUGGGUGAUGACGACGAUUAUUUCUAUGCGGAAGGAACCCAGAAAAGGAUGAAGAUUCAAAUCGCUGAUGUCGGGGUAGAUGCACAAAAAUGUUCAUCAAAGAUUUGGGAUUUAUAUGUGAAGAAGCCUGGUGAUAUCACAUCAAAGCCUAGUGUCCACGUAAAUGUAAAUGUUAUAGAUGAUUUGAAGGAAAAUUCAUCACCUAUACAGUUGGAUAUGUUUCGGAGUACAUGUUUUGGAUAUUUUCUUGAAAUGAAAAAAGUUGUUGUACAAAACCAAUUAAUUCAUUACUUGUUGUUGAGGGAGGUGUAUCAUGAGUUAUGGGUUGAAUUGAAUGGUGUCAGGCUGCGUUUUGGGUUGGAGGAGUUUGCAUUGGUAACUGGUUUAAAUUGUAGUGGUGAUGAUGUGAAUCAUCAUGAUCCUGAUUCGGACAAUCAGUUGGUUUUGAGAUGUUUUGCUGAUUAUGAAAAGAUAGAUAAAAUCUGCAUUGAUGACUGCUUCAAACAAAAAAGAUGGAGCACUGACGAAGAUGCCUUAAAGAUUUCAGUUUUUUUUUUUUUUUUUUUAUAUAUAUAUAUUUUGUUUUCGAAUGUAAAAGGUAAGACCGUUGAGAGGUCUUAUUUAGACAUUGUGGAGAAAGGUGAAUAUAACCACUAUCCCUGGGGCAAAGAUGUGUUUAGAGCCACUUUGGAAUCUAUGAAGGACAAGUUGAGAGGAAAUCCUAAAAUGUACAGGAUUGGUGGUUUUCCAUUGGCGUUUUAGUUUUGGUUUUAUGCAUGUUGUCAAAUGGUUAAAUCAAAAAUUGCUUUGCGCAUGGAGGAAAAAGUACCCUGCAUGCUUGGAUGGAAAGUUGCAGACAAACCAACGUUCAAGGAAGUUUCAAAGUACGUAACGAAGAUGAAAAACAAUAAGUUAUUUUUGAAGAAUAUUUCUCCUACGGAUUUGGAAAAGGCGAAAUUGAUGAAGAACGAGUCUUUUGUUCAGGAGAAUGUUGUUGGUCUUAUUCUCGAAAAGGAGAGUGUGAAGGGGAAGGAAAGGGAGGUAUUUGAUGAAAUUUAUGGUAAAAGAGCUGACAGUGAUGAUGAUUUUGCAUCUCCUCCGCGUCAUAUAAUUGGCAAACAGCUAAAAAGCAGAGGCGAUUUCUAGUCCAGUGAUGCUAAGUUUAAAAAGAUUUUUGAAGGUCAAGAUGAGCUGAAGAAAGAAAUUGGAACGAUCAAAGAGUUAUUGCAAGACAAAUUUGAUAAGCUUCUUAAAGCUCUUGAGAUAAACAACAAGAACCAAGAUCAGAGUUUCAACAAUGUGGAAGUGGUGAUGGUUGUGAUUGUGAUGAAAUUAGACAAGACAUUAAGGAUGGUAAUAUCAAUUCAGAUUUUAAAACGCAUCCCAAUCUCGAACAAAAAGGACUCGUGAUUGUUGAUGAUCUUGCUAAGAACAUUAGUGAUGAAAAAGGAGAAUCUCGUGAACUCACUGAUGCUUAUGUCACUACUAUACAAUGCAACGAUAUGGACAAGGCUUCUGUUGGAGAAACGGUAGUGCAUGGAAAGUGGGUGGAAUUCACUGAGUCUCAACUGGCCGUUCAAUACCAGAGUCUCAGAUUACACCUUUCACUCAAGUUGUGCCUAGUAAUAUCACACCGAUAUUAGGGCCGAGCACGAGACGUCGCACACCUGUUUGUAACUCACCAUUUUUGAGUGACUUUGAUUCCGGUCACCUUGCAGUUCAAGAUAUGCAGAACGAUUCUACAGGAACUGUUAAGCUUCCUUUUGAAGCAAGUAUUACUGAACAAAUCAGUUUGGAAAUGCUUUGUGAGUUCGGCUGGUGGGUUGAUAUUUGGUUAGAUGGAGAUGGACUCAAGGGACCGCCAUAUUCGAAGAAGUACAACAAGUUUGCUCCGGCAUUUGAUUUUGGAGUUGCACAAAUCAAGUAGAAGUCUUGGUUUUUUGCACUAGAGUACAGUGGUGAAGCCCUUUGUAAUACGGUAUGCUGAUUCAUAUUGGGGAUUAUAGAUAAUAUAUUAAUCAUAUACUAUAUAUUUCUUAUCAUUAAGUAAUGUAGUUUUUGGUGGAUGUUAUUAGGAAUAAGUUACUAUAUAGGAAACUACUGCAACAAGUUUUCUUGGGAUUUAUUACUAAGUUAGAAGAUUAUAUUCCAAUGUCAUAAUAGACAUGUUAGAAAAAAGUGGAUCCAAGAUUUUAAGUUACUGUACAGAUUACUACUGCACCAAUUUCUGAAAAAAGAUUCAGCUUUAUUUAUGGUUCAGGCAGCAUCCACUGCACAAAUACAAUGUGCUUCGUGAUUUUAGAUAAUAACAAUGAAAUCCGCAACUAUGAGUAACUGUAAUGAGUAGUUUUCAUCUUUGGAUCAAAUAGAAGCCAAGAAAGUUGAAGGUGAAGAGAGAAUUUCUAGCUAUAGUCUGUUUCCAUCUUCUUAUGUAUACUGUUACGAAGAACCAAGUUGUUGUGCCUGAAUUUCUACCAAAUGAUAAAGUAUCUUGAGAUAGGGGAGUUAAUGUUAGCAGGUCGUUUUCACUGUCAAGUUCUUCUAUGGCAAUUUGUACAAAUAUACGACAAUUUUUUCAUAUAAUGUGUAUUAUUGCUCCAAUCUUUUUAGAAGACAUGCACUAUAUACUCCAUCUUAUACUUCACAUCUCUUUUUUGCCUUGUUUAGCAGUGUCAAUUAUAUUGCUGCACUCCUGCCUACGACAACAGGGGAUUUGCCUUCUGGGUUGAGCUCGUCACACGGGGCUUGCCUAGUGCAGGUUACCUCUUGUGUGGUUUGCGAGCUAUUGAACAGGAGCUGGGUUUACCCUGUGCGCACCCGAAGGGUAGCGGCUGCGGGUUCCCAUGUCAUAAAAAAAAAAAUUAUAUUGCUGCACUCAUCUUAAUCAAAUGAAAUAUCAAUACUUCGAACAACAAUCAUAACUUAUUUGAAUUACAGCACAUUGAUUUCAUAUUUUACUAUUUGCGGAAGAAGGGUAAAUACGGACGUGACGUGCAAGUAAACUUCACCACAACUGAUUAUUUGUUUGGGGAUAAGAUAAAAGGUAUUUAUAAAAAAUUCCUUCAGGUGACGAACAAAAAGCCUGUGAUUAGUGGUAAGCAUAGAAUUGCUGAUUACAUUGAAGGUUAUUACAUGCUAUGCAACAAGGCGUGGUAUCCUAUCGACUAUGUAUUUUUCUCGGUUAAUCCUUCAAAUGCAUGGCACUGGGUCUUGGGGAUAUUGUCAUUGCAUGACAGAUGCAUUUAUGUGUACGAGUCUAUGAGAGGUGUGGAACAUGAUGUCAUUGUCCGUCAGGAGAUUGAGUCGUAUGCUACUGUCCUCCCAUAUUUCAUGAAUGUUGUUGAUUUUUACGCAAAAAGAAGUGAUAUUGACUUGGAUGCUGGUCCAUACUUCGGAAAGAAUGUGCUGGAUCCUUUUGAAGUGAAAUUGGUUGAUGAUCUGCCAUUACAAAACGACACAUACGUUAAAAUUAUGUCAUAUUUUUUUCAUUUAUCAUUUAUUAUGUCACUGAUACUUUAUAUUUCUUUUCAGUGACUGUGGGGUCUAUAUGGUAUCAUUUGCGGAGUAUUUUAUUGAAGGCAGGAAUAUGACUGAUGAAGUAUUUGAAGCUUUAGAUCUUCAUAACAGACUUGGGAUUUUGCUAUGGAAUUAUGGAAAAAUGAAGCAGUCACAAAACUAUACAUCUGAUCCUGAGGUGACUGCAAAAAAUGGGCGUAGAGGUGUUAUGAAAAGACAAUAGGAGUUUUUUGAGAUACAUAUCAGUUGCUUUUGAUGUUCUAAUAAGAAAUAUUUUAGAUCUGUCGUUUGUGACACUGUUGACUAGUUAAAUAAAGAUAUACCUUUUCUGGUAUGCUGUUGUGUUUUG